UUACGGCCACAUCGCGAUGAAGUACCGGUUCCUGUACGAUAACCGAAUUUAAGCAACGCUGUGCCUGGUCAAUACCUGGACGGGUGACCUCUUUGGAAUACCAGGUGCUAUAA